GCCUUGUUAGCCCUGUGGCUAACUAACAUGCUGGGCUGGUCGGGCGUCUGGCGAGGGAGCUCUUCCUCUGAGCGGUCUGCUCAGCUCCCUUGCGCGCUGCAGAGUGAGGCUGGGAGCCGGAAUAUGACGUCUUAUUCCACCUCCCAGCCUAAAUCUGUGGCGCGUGAGGGAGCUGAGCAGAGUCAUAUUCCGGCUCCCAGCCUCAAUCUGUGCCGCGCGAGGGAGCUGAGCAGAGUGCUCAGAGGAAGUGCUCCCUCACCAG